rnacentral:rRNA from 1 species
GAUGAACGCUAGCGGCAGGCUUAAUACAUGCAAGUCGUGGGGCAGCAGGGGUGUAGCAAUACAUCUGCUGGCGACCGGCAAACGGGUGCGUAACACGUACGCAACCUUCCCGUUACUGUGGCAUAGCCCAGGGAAACUUGGAUUAAUACCACAUAUUAUAUUGAGGGGGCAUCCCUUUGAUAUCAAAGCUUCGGCGGUAACGGAUGGGCGUGCGGUUGAUUAGGUAGUUGGCGGGGUAACGGCCCACCAAGCCUACGAUCAAUAGCUGAUGUGAGAGCAUGAUCAGCCACACGGGCACUGAGACACGGGCCCGACUCCUACGGGAGGCAGCAGUAAGGAAUAUUGGGCAAUGGACGAAAGUCUGACCCAGCCAUGCCGCGUGAAGGAUUAAGGUCCUCUGGAUUGUAAACUUCUUUUCUCUGGGGCGAAAACCAGCUAUUCUUAGCUACUUGACAGUACCAGAGGAAUAAGCACCGGCUAACUCCGUGCCAGCCGCCGCAGUAACAC